GACGAACGCUGGCGGCGUGCUUAACACAUGCAAGUCGAACGGAAAGGCCCUGCUUUUGUGGGGUGCUCGAGUGGCGAACGGGUGAGUAUCACGUGAGUAACCUGCCCUUGUCUUUGGGAUAACUUCAGGAAACUGGGGCUAAUACCGGAUAGGAUCUCCUGCUCCAUGGUGGGGGUUGGAAAGUUUCGGCGGUUGGGGAUGGACUCGCGGCUUAUCCGCUUGUUGGGGGGGUAGUGGUUUACCAAGGUUUUGACGGGUAGCCGGCCUGAGAGGGUGACCGGCCACAUUGGGACUGAGAUACGGCGCAGACUCCUACGGGAGGCAGCAGUCGGGAAUAUUGCACAAUGGGCGGAAGCCUGAUGCAGCAACGCCGCGUGCGGGAUGACGGCCUUCGGGUUGUAAACCGCUUUCGCCUGUGACGAAGCGUGAGUGACGGUAAUGGGUAAAGAAGCAACGGCUAACUACGUG
rnacentral:rRNA from 1 species